GGACAAAGCUUUGUCCCCGUGCCGCAGGUUCCGUCACCGCAGCGGCACCAGAGGCUCCGGGCUGCCGAAGUGUAAAUCUGGUGUAAAGCUGUGCAGCUCUAGGACUGACCCGGCAGGCGACACUUGAAGUUAAUUAGGACACACUGACUUAGGCUGGUGAAAAUAUCCAAUAUUAGUCCAGUGGCAUGCUGUUAUUUUGGAAGCUUGCAUUGAGUUGGGAUGUCACAGCUGAAAUACAGACCAUGGCCACUGUGGACAUUGCCACAUGUACCUGUGCAAGGAUGAUGAUGCUUGGAGGAUGCUAACCAGGAAAUUGUGUCCCUGCUGUCACAAGCUGUCUGUGUGACCUUGGCCAUGACACUUACUCCAGUUAUGGCAUCAUCUGACUGUUAAAACACAUUUAGCAAGCUGUCAGUCUGUGAAAGCAGGUAAACUGUGACCCAGAAUAGAACACUUACAGUCUGACUUCAGCAUCCAAACCAGAGUUGUUCUUGUUUCCCUUGCUUACCUACAGUAACACAGUUCCACACUGCAUUAGAAGUGUCUUGCUUUGCUUUUUUGUGUACAAGAAUAUGUGAAAAGAAUUCAGUUUCUGCUGUCUUUUAUGGGAGGGUGUUUUCACCUGCAAACCUGGAAGCUACGCCUAUUUCAUUCACGUUUCUGAAUUAAAAUAAAGAUUUGGAGACCAGAUUUGAAA